AGAGUGUAUCUUAAUGUUGCUGCAGUUAAAAAGCUCGUAGUUGAACCUCUGGCUAGUGAGGGUCCACCUGGACCGAUCGCUAGUCAUCCGCUCGGGGAAGCAGUAUUUCUUUAAUCGGUUUUACUGUAGAUCCAGCAUUUUACUUUGAAGAAAUUAGAGUGUUCCUGGCAGGCUUAGCUUGCAUAUAUUAGCAUGGAAUAAUGGAAUAGGACCUUGUCUGUUUUAUUGGUUGACAGAUAGGUAAUGAUUAACAGGGACAGUCGGGGGCAUUCGUACUCAGUGGCUAGAGGUGAAAUUCUUAGAUUCGCUGAAGACGAACUAAUG
rnacentral:rRNA from 1 species